GUACUCUGAUUGGUGACGGGUGAGGCGGCCCGAAAUCGUAGGACUUCCGAAAGCAGCGGCGGCGUUUGCUUCACUGCUUGGAAGUGUGAGUGCGCGAAGAUGCGAAAGGUGGUUUUGAUCACCGGGGCUAGCAGUGGCAUUGGCCUGGCCCUCUGCAAGCGGCUGCUGGCGGAAGAUGAUGAGCUUCAUCUGUGUUUGGCGUGCAGGAACAUGAGCAAGGCAGAAGCUGUCUGUGCUGCUCUGCUGGCCUCUCACCCCACUGCUGAGGUCACCAUUGUCCAGGUGGAUGUCAGCAACCUGCAGUCGGUCUUCCGGGCCUCCAAGGAACUUAAGCAAAGGUUUCAGAGAUUAGACUGUAUAUAUCUAAAUGCUGGGAUCAUGCCUAAUCCACAACUAAAUAUCAAAGCACUUUUCUUUGGCCUCUUUUCAAGAAAAGUGAUUCAUAUGUUCUCCACAGCUGAAGGCCUGCUGACCCAGGGUGAUAAGAUCACUGCUGAUGGACUUCAGGAGGUGUUUGAGACCAAUGUCUUUGGCCAUUUUAUCCUGGUAAAGAAGCUGUGGGCUUAAUAAGCUAAUAUUUGGUGUGAUCGUUUCCGUAAAGCUCUGGGCACAGGGCAUUAUUAUAGUUGAGCAGCCAGUUAACUGAUUUUAUCUCAUGUUUGAGUUUUCUUGAUUGCAUUUGCCUUGUUUAUUGUGAGCAUGGAAUACUUCUGGAAGCUUUCCUAGUAGAUUUUUCUUUAAUAAAUGUACUAAUAGUUUUUGAUUUACAGAAUUACUGCAAAGAUAGUACAGAGACUUUCUGUAUGCCCUACACCCAGUUUCCCCAUUAUUAACAUUUCGCAUUGGUAUGAUGCAUUUGUCAAAAUAGCUGAAUCAAUUCUGCUACAUUAUUAUUAACUAAAGUACACACUUUAUUCAGGUUCUGUUUUUGCCUAAUGUCUUUUUUCAGUUCUAGGAUCCCAUUCAAGAUACUACAUUACAUUUAGCAGUCAUGUCUCCUUAGGCUCUUCUUGGUUGUGACAGCUUCUCAGACUUUCCUUGUUUUUGAUGACCUUGACAGUUUUGAGGAGUACUGCUUAGGUGUUUUGUAGACUCUCUCAAUCGGGAUUUGUCUGAUGUUUUUCUCAUGGUGAGACUGAAGAAUGUGGUUUUUGGGAGGAAGGCCACAGAGGUAAAGUGACAUUCUCAUGACAUCAUAUCAAGGGUGUAUUCUAUCAGUAUGACUUCUCAGUGUUGAUAUUAACCUUGAUCACCUGGCUUGAGGUCAUGUCUGUCAGGUUUCUCCAUUGUGAAGUUACUUUUUCUUUCUCCCUUUUCAUACUCUACUUUUUGAAAGAAAGUUGGGCCGGGCACGGUGGCUCCUGCCUGUAAUCCCAGCACUUUGGGAGGCCAAGGCGGGCAGAUUACCUGAGGUCAGGAGUUUGAGAUCAGCCUGACCAACAUGGAGAAACCCCAUCUCUAUCAAAAAACAAAAUUAGCCGGGUGUGGUGACGCAUGCCUGUAAUCCCAGCUGCUUGGGAGGCUGAGGCAGAAGAAUCGCUUGAACCCGGGAGGCAGAAGUUGUGAUUCGGGAACUGGAGCCUCUCCUCUGUCACAGUGACAAUCCAUCUCAGCUCAUCUGGACAUCGUCUCGCAAUGCAAGGAAAUCUAAUUUCAGCCUCGAGGACUUCCAGCACAGCAAAGGCAAGGAACCCUACAGCUCUUCCAAAUAUGCCACUGACCUUUUGAGUGUGGCUUUGAACAGGAACUUCAACCAGCAGGGUCUCUAUUCCAAUGUGGCCUGUCCAGGUACAGCAUUGACCAAUUUGACAUAUGGAAUUCUGCCUCCGUUUAUAUGGACGCUGUUGAUGCCGGCCAUAUUGCUACUUCGCUUUUUUGCAAAUGCAUUCACUUUGACACCAUAUAAUGGAACAGAAGCUCUGGUAUGGCUUUUCCACCAAAAGCCUGAAUCUCUCAAUCCUCUGAUCAAAUAUCUGAGUGCCACCACCGGCUUUGGAAGAAAUUACAUUAUGACCCAGAAGAUGGACCUAGAUGAAGACACUGCUGAAAAAUUUUAUCAAAAGUUACUGGAACUGGAAAAGCACAUUAGGGUCACUAUUCAAAAAACAGAUAAUCAGGCCAGGCUCAGUGGCUCAUGCCUAUAAUUCCAGCACUUUGGGAGGCCAAGGCAGAAGGAUCACUUGAGACCAGGAGUUCGAGACCAGCCUGAGAAACAUAGUGAGCCCUUGUCUCUACAAAAAGAAAUAAAAAUAAUAGCUGGGUGUGGUGGCAUGCGCAUGUAGUCCCAGCUACUCAGGGGGAUGAGGUGGGAGGAUCUCUUGAGGCUGGGAGGCAGAGGUUGCAGUGAGCUGAGAUUGUGCCACUGCACUCCAGCCUGGGUGACAGCGAGACCCUGUCUCAAAAUAUGUAUAUAUUUAAUAUAUAUAUAAAACCAGAGCUGACAAUGACACUCUGGAACAUUGCAUACCUUCUGUACAUUCUGGGGUACAUGGAUUUCUACUGAGUUGGAUAAUAUGCAUUUGUAAUAAACUAUGAACUAUG
rnacentral:sRNA from 1 species